CAUAGGUUAAUGAGGCGAACCGGGGGAACUGAAACAUCUAAGUACCCCGAGGAAAAGAAAUCAACCGAGAUUCCCCCAGUAGCGGCGAGCGAACGGGGAGCAGCCCAGAGCCUGAAUCAGUGUGUGUGUUAGUGGAAGCGUCUGGAAAGGCGCGCGAUACAGGGUGACAGCCCCGUACACAAAAAUGCACAUGCUGUGAGCUCGAUGAGUAGGGCGGGACACGUGGUAUCCUGUCUGAAUAUGGGGGGACCAUCCUCCAAGGCUAAAUACUCCUGACUGACCGAUAGUGAACCAGUACCGUGAGGGAAAGGCGAAAAGAACCCCGGCGAGGGGAGUGAAAAAGAACCUGAAACCGUGUACGUACAAGCAGUGGGAGCACGCUUAGGCGUGUGACUGCGUACCUUUUGUAUAAUGGGUCAGCGACUUAUAUUCUGUAGCAAGGUUAACCGAAUAGGGGAGCCGAAGGGAAACCGAGUCUUAACUGGGCGUUAAGUUGCAGGGUAUAGACCCGAAACCCGGUGAUCUAGCCAUGGGCAGGUUGAAGGUUGGGUAACACUAACUGGAGGACCGAACCGACUAAUGUUGAAAAAUUAGCGGAUGACUUGUGGCUGGGGGUGAAAGGCCAAUCAAACCGGGAGAUAGCUGGUUCUCCCCGAAAGCUAUUUAGGUAGCGCCUCGUGAAUUCAUCUCCGGGGGUAGAGCACUGUUUCGGCAAGGGGGUCAUCCCGACUUACCAACCCGAUGCAAACUGCGAAUACCGGAGAAUGUUAUCACGGGAGACACACGGCGGGUGCUAACGUCCGUCGUGAAGAGGGAAACAACCCAGACCGCCAGCUAAGGUCCCAAAGUCAUGGUUAAGUGGGAAACGAUGUGGGAAGGCCCAGACAGCCAGGAUGUUGGCUUAGAAGCAGCCAUCAUUUAAAGAAAGCGUAAUAGCUCACUGGUCGAGUCGGCCUGCGCGGAAGAUGUAACGGGGCUAAACCAUGCACCGAAGCUGCGGCAGCGACGCUUAUGCGUUGUUGGGUAGGGGAGCGUUCUGUAAGCCUGUGAAGGUGUGCUGUGAGGCAUGCUGGAGGUAUCAGAAGUGCGAAUGCUGACAUAAGUAACGAUAAAGCGGGUGAAAAGCCCGCUCGCCGGAAGACCAAGGGUUCCUGUCCAACGUUAAUCGGGGCAGGGUGAGUCGACCCCUAAGGCGAGGCCGAAAGGCGUAGUCGAUGGGAAACAGGUUAAUAUUCCUGUACUUGGUGUUACUGCGAAGGGGGGACGGAGAAGGCUAUGUUGGCCGGGCGACGGUUGUCCCGGUUUAAGCGUGUAGGCUGGUUUUCCAGGCAAAUCCGGAAAAUCAAGGCUGAGGCGUGAUGACGAGGCACUACGGUGCUGAAGCAACAAAUGCCCUGCUUCCAGGAAAAGCCUCUAAGCAUCAGGUAACAUCAAAUCGUAC
rnacentral:rRNA from 1 species